rnacentral:tRNA from 1 species
GGGGUUGUGGCUCAACGGUAGAGCACACGCCUCUUACAUGUGGGACCCUGGGUUCGAUCCUCAGCACCACA